UACGUAGGCAGCGAGCGUUGUUCGGAGUUACUGGGCGUAAAGGGAGCGCAGGCGGAUUUGUAAGUCAGUGGUGAAAGGCUUAAGCUUAACUUGGGAACUGCCAUUGAUACUAUAAGUCUUGAAUGUUGUUGAGGUUUGCGGAAUGGGUCAUGUAGCGGUGAAAUGCAUAGAUAUGACCCGGAACACCUAUUGCGAAGGCAGCAGGCUAAACAAAUAUUGACGCUGAGGCUCGAAAGCGUGGGGAUCAAACAGG
rnacentral:rRNA from 1 species